AGGUGGCUAAGAAGAUGAGCCUUAUUGAACAGUACAGGGAGGAAAGGGAAAGACAACAAAAGUUAGCAGAAGAAGAGGAAAUCAGGAGACUAAGAAAGGAGCUCAUUCCAAGAGCUCAACUCAUGCCCUAUUUCGACAGGCCUUUCAUCCCUAGAAGGUCGAUGAAGCAUUGCACCAUACCCAGAGAGCCAAAGUUCCAUAUACCAGCAUAACACAAGAAGAUCAAGUGUGGCAUGUGUUGGGAUGAUAUGUUCACACACCAACAAUGAAAUGCAGAGAAGGAAGAAAAAAUCAAGA